GACGAACCGUGCGAACGUUGUUCGGAAUCACUGGGCUUAAAGGGCGCGUAGGCGGCUCCGCAAGUCGGGGGUGAAAUCUUUCGGCUUAACCGGAAAAGUGCCUCUGAUACUGCGGAGCUCGAGGGAGGUAGGGGCGGACGGAACUUCCGGUGGAGCGGUGAAAUGCGUUGAUAUCGGAAGGAACACCUGUGGCGAAAGCGGCUCACUGGACCACAACUGACGCUGAGGCACGAAAGCGUGGGGAGCAAACAGG
rnacentral:rRNA from 1 species